AGCGGGGCCAGGAACCAAGGGGUACCAGAAUCAGAACCUGGGCAACAAAGGAAACUGGGGAGAUGGUGGGAUGGAGGGAGGUGGCCGGAAAACAGGGAAGCCAGGGAGCUUUGGAGGCUGUAAAAAACAAAGCUCAAGACUCCAGGGGAAUGAAAGGUCUGGGGGGAGGGGAGCCAGGUUGGUGGGGCCCCUGGGCGGCUCCAGAGGCCCCUUUCCUCCAUUAGAUGGCAGCAGAGGCCCGAUUUCUGGGUUGGGCCUCUGGAAGUUGUUGGGGGGGGCGGUGUGCCCACUGGCAGCCCUCUUCCCUGGCCCCUUCCUUUGAUCUUUUCAUCACAGACCCACUUCUGGGCCUUGGGGUAUUUCUGCAGGGAGGGUCCCCCUUCCAACGGAGGAUGAAAAGGAUGCGAGUGCCUUCAAAGUUUUGCAGUCUUGAGAUAAAUCCGUCCUCUUCCAGCAUCUGCCUGCUCCCCUCUAGUGACCAUCUACCUGUUGACCAAAUGCGCUUCAGGGCAGUUGCCUUUGCAUCUGCAACAUCCAGCACAGAGUCCCGCACUUAGCAGAUGCUCAAGUUAUGACGUCUGUCAUUCUUUGAGGACUUGAGGAUAGAAUGUCAGAGAAUGUGGAUACAGGGGCUCGGGACCCAUUUAACCGUGAGACACUGGAAGAGGAGGGGACUGUCCUUGCCUGGGUCUCAGUUUCUGCAUUUGUAACCUGAGGGGAUCCAGAUUUAGCUUUCUAAAACUCCAGGAUUAAAAUUGGGGUAGAUCUGGGGUUCCUGUUGUGGUACAACGGGAUUGGUGGUGUCUUGGGAGUGCUGGGAUGCAGGUUCGAUCACUGGCCCAGCAUGGUGGGUUAAGGAUCUGGCGUUGCCACAGUUGUGGCUUAGGUCAUGACUGCGGCUCGGAUCUGAUCCCUGGCCUGGGAACUCCCUAUGUCGUGGGGUGGCCUAAAAAGAAAACAAAAUUGGGGUAAUCAGUGCCAUUAAACCAUGAGGUCAAGAUCUGGGAUUACCAUCCCCACCCCACUCCCAACAACAUACACACAGGGGGGGUUGAGGUUUGAAAACGCUACUUCCCUGGAGGAUAAGAAUGAAACUUCGGAGGACUCAGUCUUCCCCACUAGGAUGGAGGAGACGAGACCAGACCCUUCCUCUUGCCUCUUCCCCCAACUGCCUCCCAUGUCCCCACACCCUCUGGCUUCACCUUCUGGUACAGAACAGAGAGAAGCCAGGCCAGGCUCAGGCACAGAGCCAGCAGUGAGUGUGGCUGCACCAGAAUAGCGCUUCACCUGCCUGGCUUUGAGCUCCUGCUGGAAGGCUCUGGGCCCCGGGCUACUUGGGCUUGAAGGGAGUGGGGCAAUAGGGAGCAGUAUUCGCAAGGAUGCUGCAGCCAGCCAGGUCUGGCCACUCAGAGCCUUUGUCCAUCUCACCCCAGGCUGCAGGUAACACUCCCAGGGGGCCUUUCACUUUCUUCUAUCCUCAGCACCCCCUCAAGUGUCAUUCCUAGCACUCUAUCCAGCCCCCAGGUGGAUUACGCUCAGGCCAUUGAAGAUGGCUGCUCUCUUGCUCUUUGUACAUGCCCUGACCAACCAACCAGUCCUUGUUUCACCUGCACCCUAUUCACAUGAAUGUGUUUGCCUCCUGCCCCAGCUAGUGAUUAAUCUAAUCCCUAGGCCAGGAGUUCCCUUGUGGUGCAUCAGGUUAAGGACCCAGUAGUUACGACAGUGGCUUGUCGGGUCACUACUGUGGUUCAAUUCCUGGUUGGGGAACUUCCACAUGCUGCAGGGACAGCUCCCCCGCCUCCCCAAAAAAAUCCCUAGGCCAGAACGGCUCUACCUGCAAGUUUAUUAAAGGCAAACAUCUGCCCUCGUGAUGGUUGUUAAUCUGAGGGGCUGUGAGGGACAUGCCUCAGCUGCUGGUUUCCGUGGUAACUGAUGAGCCAACCUGAUGUCAGUUGCCCCUGUAAAUGGUGGCCUCCUUACCACGGCCUGCCUGCCUGCCAUAAAUGGUGGGGUGUUGCUCCAGGGCCUUUUGCUUAAGUUCCCCUGUCCCAUAAACCAUGAUGUCUCUGUUGCUGUCUCCAGACUCUUCCGUCUCAAGGCUGGGCAACCGCAAGGCUAUUAGGAGUGCUGAGUGCAGCCCAACAAUUGGCAAGCCAGCCAGGAGGCCAAAGAAACUCCAAAGAGGUCAGAAAGUAAGGAUGGGGAACAGAAGGUUGCAGGGUUGACCCUGAGGUGGCCGUCCACUAGCAUGUGGGCCCUGUGGCAGCUGACUACCAUGAGAGAUGUCUUUCUCUUCCAUUACACUGAUUCUCUUCCACUCUUAUCCUCAGAGUCUCCUUCCAGUUUAUAAGUAGCAGCCCUAGGAGUUCCUGUCGUGGCUCAGUGGUUAAAGAACCCGACUAAGCAUCCAUGAGGACUCAGGUUCGAUCCCUGGCCUCGAUCAGUGGGUUAAGGAUCCAGCAUUGCUGUGGGCUGUGGCAUAGGCCAGUGGCUACAGCUCUGAUUGGACCCCUAGCCUGAGAACCUCCAUAUGCUGUGGGUGCGGCCCUAAAAAGCAAAAAACUAAAAAAUAAAAAAAUAAAAGUAGCAGCCCUAUUCUUGUGGCUCAUCUAACUGCACAAGGAUGGCCGGUGAAUACAGACAAAAACACAAGGACCUAGAUUAUCUACAAAAGACAAGCACACCCCUAACUUCUCACCCCAAACAAGUAUAGACACAGGUUUUAGGGGAUAUUAAUGCAAGUACAGGUUUGCCAACUGGAUGUGGCCAGUUAACUGGAAGGGUUUGAAUGGGGCGUAUGGCAACAACAAAAUAAGAGCAAUGCUGGGCUUCUGGUCCCAGCUAUGGAAGGGGGCAGGGCAACGAUAUAUAGCAUGAUGAACAACAGCUAUAUGCAGUCCAAAAUGUGUUACAAUAGACGGAAGAUAUUACUACCCAAGUCACCUAACAAUGCAACAAGAAAACAACAAAAAAAAAACACCCCACUAUUUGAGGCCUAGAACAGCAGUGUGUGACAUAAAGGAAUCCAGUUGACCAGCCAUGAAGUUCAAAAAUGGGCCGAUAAAAAUGGCACACACACUGGCAUUUCCACCCGCCUUAUGACCCCACUGCUGCUGGGCUAAUGGAAAGAAUGAAUGGGCUACUUAACAACUGAGAUGGAAAGCUGCUCUCUCAACAUGUGGACCAGUGGCAAACUCAAGCCCUACGAACUAUAACAACAUCCCAGGAGCAACUGUCCCAGUGCCUAGGCCAUGUUAACCCAGAGGCAAUUAGUCAACACAAUCCAAGAUCAACUGUUACCACCGAAGGACCAUUGCCAACUCUUAUAGAUCCGGACAACAGUCUUCUUUUUUUCAGGGCCACACCCACAGCAUAUGCAAGUUACCAGGCUAGGGGUCGAAUUGGAGCUGCAGCUGCCAGCCUAUGCCACAGCCACAACAACGCAGGAUCUGAGCCGCGUCUGUGACCUACACCACAGCUCACGGCAACGCUGGAUCCUUAACCCACUGAGCAAGGCCAGGGAUCGAACCCACAACCUCAUGGUUCCUCAUCGGAUUCGUUUCUGCUGUGCCACGGCAGGAACUCCCAGGACAAUAACUCCUGCCCUCACCACAGGAUUUACGCCUAGGGAACACAUUAUAAAACAGCCUUGGGACUGGCAGGUAAGUCCCAGGUGGUUCAAGGAACAGGAUUGGAAAGGGAUUUACAGACUUCACCUGUUUUAUACCUGCCUCACCUGAGGACUACUAAAGUAAUUAACCCAGCUCCCAACUGAAGAAAGGCAUCAUUACAUUAACCCUGUGUCUGUUGUGCCACCAUGAAUGUCUCUGUUGCCGUCCCUGGGCUCUUUCUUCCAUCUCAAGGUUGGGCAACUACAAGGCUUACAGGCCACGGACUCCCUGCAGCAAAGGAUGCCAGAACCCCCCGAGGCCUCCCUACUGCCCCACAAUCACCUAUCCAGCUCUAGGAACUUCAGGUAGGAGAUGGCUGCCUGAUGGGACUAUUUUAGAUUCUGAGGCCACCACGGUAGAUCUAAGGAUGGGUCCUUCAGCCCAAAGUUCCUGUCCUUCUCUAAGCGGGGACCUGGCAUGACUGGCCUCACCAGUCUGCCAGUCCGUGGAGUUGAUCCUGCAACCCUCCCACUCUAAGCAAAUGCAGUAUUUACUGCUCUUUAAAGAUCUCCCAAGAAGGAGAGUUCUUUCUUGGCUCUAACCUGACUCCUUCCUGCUACACCUAAGCCCAUUUCUUUUGGUUCUGCCCUCAAAUGAUUCUGAAGGAUCAGAAGCAGAGGAAUCACCAGUAUGACAUUUUUGCUAGUCCACAGCACGAUGAUAAAAAAAAAAAAAAAAAAAAAAGUACUGUGUAUUUGUUGGGGGGAAAAUCAAUGACUGUCCUUGCUUGGGAUUAACGGCUUCUGAUUCAGACGAUGUCUGUUUUAUUUUGAGGAGAAUUAGCAUGUGCUUGCUUUUGUGAAAUGAUGGUGGUAAAAAUGAUAAUGGACAUUCUUAGGGAGCCAUAAAUUAAGGCUGCAACUCUUUGUAAGAACUUGGUUUUUGUUUUUGUUUUGUCAAAUCCAAACCUUCGAAAUAUUGGCUAGAGAGAAGUCUGAGAUUCCAUAUACAUACAGUGAACCCCAAGUUUUUACCUGUCCUCCCCAAGACAAAAGGACACAGGCUGCCCUACACACACCUCUCUGCCACGUGUACCAGGUUUCUAGCUUUUAGGCUGAUGUUCCUAUCAUGUUAGGUGAAGGUUUAUUUAGUGAAUGAGAGUGUGGGUUCAACCCAGACUGCCAGGGUUCAAAACCAGCUCAGCCACUGACUUACCUCUGUGCCUCAUUUUCCCUACCUGUAAAAUAGGAAUAAUAACCACCUACUUCUUGGAGUUGAGAGGUUAAGUGCUUGGAACAGUGCCCAGCACACACAGCUCACCCAAUGUGACUGUUAUAACUACUAUUUCAAGCAGGUUUCCCCUGGGCAAAAAUGUUGGGUGUGGGAAGGCAGUGGGCACAGAUGGUGGGGCUCUGUGAGCCCCUAAAGGUACAUUAUUCAGCCCCUUCCAUUCAAUCACUACCCCUGCCACCCUGGCUAAUUAAUCUCAACUCCUGUAGCCCAUUUAAUUGCUUCGAAAAAGUCUGGAACCCUCUUUGAAACCCCCCCCCCCCCCCGGCACACACAUCAAAUACCUACACCAGGAGCCCAUUCCCCUGAGCUGCUUUAUUCCUCCUGUGAAAGCCUAAGACCAUCUCCUCAAUCUAUCAGGACUCUGAUAAUGGGCGUUUCAGUCUAGUUAGAGUAGCUAACCGUGCAAGCAGGCUACCACGGAGUGUGACCCCGGAGGGGCCCCGCGCCUGCGGGCACUAGAAACUAAGGGAAAAUUAGCCUACUCUCUACUCCAAGGAAAAAAGCCCGCUGGAGUACGAUGGGCUUGGAUUUGGGCGAACUCCAUAAUCUGAGUCUCAGCUUCCUCCUCCGGAAAACGGGUCUAUUAAUACCUGCCUACCACCCGGAAGUGCGCGGUCCAAACUUAGUGAGAGAAUGUGCGCUGUGACUCUCGGUGACCAGGGGACGCUGCACACGUGCGAGCCGCCCCAGCAGAAAGCCAGAAAGCGGAGAGAUGAAAGUCUGGCGGGGCAGCCGGUGCCUGACGUGGAUCCCACACGCUCCGAGACAGUGUCUUCCUCAGCUCGUGCUUACCCCGGGCCAGGGCCAAAUUCGGGAGCCUCUCGGUUUAGAAAAAAUGCUGGAGAAGUCGCUGGCGGCCUAGUACGUUAAGGAUCUGGUGGUGUCACUGCUGUGGCUUGGGUUGCUGCUAUGGUGCUGGUUCAAUCCCUGGCCCUGGAAUUUCUGCAUGCUACAGGGAAAUUCCUUGCCACCGGACCGCACCCGCCCUUGAGGACCUCCCCGAUGUCUUUGGGCAGAGAGGAAGCCAGACGGAGCUGGGGACUGUGAAGUGACAAUCCUCAGCCCUGUGUGUGCCGGGAGCCCCCCGAGGGCUGCAGAGGAAGCCUGGUGUGGGCUUGCUGGGGACAGAGCUCUUCUCAGAGGAGGCGGGGACCCGUGGAGUACGUGACUCCUGCCCUUCCAGCCUGCACGCUCCAGUUAGCAGGACAGGGACCCCUCCCCACCCAUCCCCAAUCUUCACAGGCUUCCUGCUCUGCCGGGAGGCCCUGUCACCACGCUCACACGUGCGCGCGCGCACACACACACACACACACACACACACACACACACACACACACUCACCCUUCCCUCCUAGGCACCCCUGAGAGGACCAGCUGCAGCUGGGGGUGGGGGUAGGGAGAGUGCUGCCAGGGUGCUCAGAUCCAGCCUCUUUCUCCCACCGCUGCCUCCCCCCCAGCUGCUGAGCAGCUUCUAGGUUUAAAGCAAAACACCAUGAUUCCCGUCCUCUUCCUGCUGCUCUGCCGGCACAGUGCACAGGGGUUAUUUUUAGCAGGGAUGCAGGGAAGGCACAUUGGUCCUGGACUUUCACUGGGGACAUCUCGACCCCAGGCUAGACACGGCCUGGGGAGGCCGGCGCGGAAAACCCCCCUCCCAGAAAGGGGAAACGGGUGUGUUUUCUGUUCCUUCAAAUCACCAGAACAGGAGUUGCAGAGUCAAGCUUGAGGUUACACUGAUGGGAAGUUCUAGGCUCCAAAGUUCACAGGCUACCCUCUUCCCUGGUCUCUGUGUCCCCGUAAAUCUGGGGAGCAGGAGGUGCCUGGAGUCGUGAGGCGCAGUGCGUGGGUAUUGGGGUCCAAGGAGAGCUGAUCGUUGACAGCCCUGUGGACCACACGCAGGCACCAGGCAUUCUGGGUGGUAUUUAUGCCAGUACUUGCUUUAUAAUUCAUUAAACUGACCGUGUCUGUUCUGUGUA